CCACUAUUACAAGAAUAUGAAGAAACCUAUGAAACGGUUCUUCCACUACAUGAAUAGAUUUAUGGAUUGUAAUUUCUAUACAUAAUGUAACCAUAAAUCAUGAAUUAAUCCUCUUGGGAAUACAAAGGGACAUCCAUACUUUUAAUUGUUUCAUAACACUCCCCCUUGGAUGUCCAUUACACAAAGAAUAUGUCUCGUUAAAAC
rnacentral:lncRNA from 1 species